rnacentral:rRNA from 1 species
CCUACGGGCUGCAGCAGUGGGGAAUAUUGCACAAUGGGGGAAACCCUGAUGCAGCGACGCCGCGUGAGUGAAGAAGUAUCUCGGUACGUAAAGCUCUAUCAGCAGGGAAGAAAAUGACGGUACCUGAAGAAAAAGCAUCGGCUAACUCCGUGCCAGCAGCCGCGGCAAUACGGAGGAUGCGAGCGUUAUCCGGAUUUAUUGGGUUUAAAGGGUGCGUAGGCGGAAUAUCAAGUCAGCGGUAAAAAUUCGGGGCUCAACCCCGUCGUGCCGUUGAAACUGAUGUUCUUGAGUGGGCGAGAAGUAUGCGGAAUGCGUGAUGUAGCGGUGAAAUGCAUAGAUAUCACGCAGAACUCCGAUUGCGAAGGCAGCAUACCGGCGCCCAACUGACGCUGAAGCACGAAAGCGUGGGUAUCGAACAGGAUUAGAUACCCUAGUAGUC